GUGGGGAAUUUUGGACAAUGGGCGCAAGCCUGAUCCAGCAAUGCCGCGUGCAGGAAGAAGGCCUUCGGGUUGUAAACUGCUUUUGUACGGAACGAAACGGUCCUGGUUAAUACCCGGGGCUAAUGACGGUACCGUAAGAAUAAGCACCGGCUAACUACGUGCCAGCAGCCGCGGUAAUACGUAGGGUGCAAGCGUUAAUCGGAAUUACUGGGCGUAAAGCGUGCGCAGGCGGUUUUGUAAGACAGGCGUGAAAUCCCCGGGCUCAACCUGGGAAUUGCGCUUGGGACUGCAAGGCUUGAGUGCGGCAGAGGGGGAUGGAAUUCCGCGUGUAGCAGUGAAAUGCGUAGAUAUGCGGAGGAACACCGAUGGCGAAGGCAAUCCCCUGGGCCUGCACUGACGCUCAUGUACGAAAGCGUGGGGAGCAAACAGGAUUAGAAACCCGGGUAGUCC
rnacentral:rRNA from 1 species